AUCCCGUGGUGAGGGCAUUUACGAAGUAACUCUUUGAAUCAUUCCCAUGCCUCGUAUAGGGAUUCAUCAUCCAUAUUCUAAAAAGUGGUGAUCUCAUUCUGUAACU
rnacentral:snoRNA from 1 species